ensembl:lincRNA AY702103 cDNA sequence AY702103
AAUUCUAGGUGAAAAGCCUGAAUAAAAGCCACCAAUUCCUGAAUAGGAAAAUCCACCAAACCCUGAACUUCCCACAGAAACUCACCUAUCCCUGGACAUCAAAACCCACCAAUCCCUGAACAGGUAAACUCACCAAUCCCUGAGCUCCCUCAGGCUCAGAAAUUGAGAUGCCAGCCAUCCUCACUCUGGAAAUCUUACUCUAGAAAGGUCCAUGCCCUAAGAACACCUAUACAAGCACUGGACUUUGUCCAAUUAGCAAGUGCUCUCUGCACUCUCCUGAAACCAUAGGCACUAAUAUUCCAGGAUGCAUUCUUCCAUACUGUGGACACACCAAUGAAUGCCUUUCAUGAGCUCUGCUGUCAUGUUCUUCUCUCAUUGGAAGAAGACAAGAAGCAAUGAAGACAAGAAAGGAAGAGAAGGAGUAGGCUUGAGGCUCCUGAGCUCAGCUGGGGACAUCCUUCCCUGGAGCUGGGAAGCCUCCAAUGAGGAAGGAGACUUCCUCUCAAAGAUGUGUGGUUCCUGGGCCCCCGUGUCUCCAGAAACCCUUCCCUUGGGACACUGUCACACCUCAGAGCUGGAUGGUUCCUGAGUUCCAAGGCCCUGAACACCUUCUCAUCCAAGCACAAAGGCCAACAACCAGGGCCACUGGCCCUACAAGAUCCAGAUAUCAUCUGGUAAAGUCUGAGAACCAACUCCCAGAGAUGGGUCAUGCAGAAGUUAAUCCUGAAGCUCCAUCUUCCUCAACACUGGCAGAUAAAAGCCACCCAGGAGCCUCCACAGGAGCGCCUGUCUCAUCAAUGGGUCCAGCCAUAUUCCAGAUUUGGAAGGACCUUUGCAAGGAUCUGACAAACAUUGCAGGAAGAUCUCUGAGAGAUCUGUACAGGAUCCCAGAGGGUUCCCUGGGCAAAGAUCUAGAGGCUGUCUCCGAGACACGGGUGGACAGUUGCUAUGUCAGACAGCCAAGAAGUGACUCACCAAGUCCCCAGCUAGUCUCCCCAGGAAAACAGCAGCUAGAGGGUAUACUGAAAACCACUCAAGCAGCAAGUGGAGCCAUUACAAUGCCAUUAAGGUGCCUGUGGGCACUUGUCAAGGAAUUGCUGUGGACCACACAGUGGUCCUGCCUGAAAACUCAGAGACAAGUUCUGAAAACCCAGAGACAAAUAUGGAAGCUCAGAAGCAGUGAUCCUUGAAUGAUGGGGCCACCUGCAAGAAUAUUUCCCAAUGGGCCUUCAUUCCUACAAGAAGAUGCCUUUUGGGUGAGGCAAAAAGAUGGAGCUUGCUUCUCAGAGACCUCAAAAUCCUACAUCUUUCCAACACAAACAGGUCUGUAGCUUUGCCAUUUCCCACAGCCUCUGACUCCCUCUCCGACCUGCUGGGAUUCUAGAGAUGAUUUCCUGGGAGAGCUUUUUCAGAAAAGUUCAGAAGAGGAAGUGAGGACAAAAAUGGCUUCUAGUAUAUGCAGACUGCUCCCUCUACCCGCCAGCUCAAAUUCCUGAGAGGGAGUCCAUCUAAUGACAACAAUUGGCCAUCUGAGGCACCCAAAGUGUUUAGAAGGACAAUGUGACUUCCCUAUGCACCACACACUGCAUUGUGGGCAGAGACUGGCCCAGUGAUAAGGCUCUUGGAUCUUGGACAGGCAACCCAGAGCCAGGUUCAAACCUAGUCAAGGAUAGGUAUGAGCCCCAGGAGAGUAAGGGUGUGGCCUUUGGAGAUCUCUACCACGGGCUGUCAGUUUGGGAGAUCAGUGUGGCACCCCAGUUACCAAGUACUAGAGGUAUGGGGACUGGAGGAGGCAGAGGAGGAGCAGGAGCCCUGUGACUAGGCACUCAACAUGGAAGCCAGGGAGAUGGCAAGCUCUCAAACUUAACAAGGGGCAGCUGAGCGAUUUAGAAUCACUGCAGACCAGCAAAAGAUAUUCCCCUUCCACGACUAUUUUCCAGGAUCCAGAAGACUUAUGCCUGAACACAUCUCACUGUGACUCGGCUACCGAUGUCAGUGGUAGGACUGUACCACUGGCAUGUUCUUUCAAGACGGUGCCUCCAAGGUCCUGCUGGCUGCAGAUAUCCCUGCCUCCAGGUCCUCAGGAUCUAGCUUCAAGACUGUGUUCUCUACCAGAAAAUUAUCUUUCCAAGACAGGUGUUCUUUCUUGUCAAGAGCAGGGAAUGUUGACAAGACUCCCAGACCCCAGGAGCCUUUGACUUUCCAUUUCCACACAUUGGACUGUCCAUGUCCCAGGCAGGACAUAUUUUCCUGACAGAGAUGAGACCUGCCCAAGCCUACAGGUCCCAGUACUCAUGAAAGCUUCUCUUCCCUACUUGCAAAAACAAAAAAGAUGUUCGAGGACAGCAUAAAAAAAUUAUAUCAAUUUUGACUUCCAAAAGCAAAAUCCAGAAAAACACCCUGCAAAAUGUGAAGUCCUUGUCAACCCCCUACUCCGAGGCUCAGUCGUGAGUAGAGUGUUCAUGCCCGGACAGGUAGCUGAACCACAAGGGGAAGCUGGGGUUUGGUCAGGCCAAUAGUACUGACCUCAAAAAAAAUCUGUAUAAGGAAUCACUCCAGGCUCAGGUGAGUAGGAAGGUCUGCCACCUCAGGAGUCUCAUGGCAGAAACACAGAAAGCACAAGGAAUUAUUUGCUGUGUUCACCAACCCAAAGCCUAGGCACACAGCUCACCUUCCACAGAAGUAUAAACGCACAAUCAAGCAGGCCCAUCUAUCUAGAGAGGCUGUCUCCUGAGCUAAGCCCUAUCAGCAUGGGCCAGCCACCACAGGUCCCAGGAACCCCUGUCCACUGUCCCAGGCCCUGUCUCUUGGAAAAGCAAAUGCAUUUUCACACCUACCCUGAGAGGAAAUUUCCCCAUUAAAAAAUAUAUUUUCCUCAAAACAAAACAAACAGAAACAAAACAAAUUUUUAAAAAGUGAUCUCUGAGUAUGUAUGUUUUCUCUUGAGGCCAUGUCUGCGUUGCUAUGCCACAGGAAAACAUCUCUAUCUGCUUCUGGAGGAAUCAAGGCUCCACCCAGAGGGGAUAGUGACCUUUGAAGUCUCACCGUCUCCAGUUCCAGCACUGUAGUUAGCGUUCAUCACAGUGUAAUUAUGAACAUAAAGAGGAAAACUUUAGGAUGAGGGCUGCGAGUCAUCCCUAUAAGACUCCACUCCAGGGGCUACUUCACUAGUCUGACCUUUGGGUAAGUUGUGUGGAUGGGUACACAGAGCCACCAGUGAGCGCAGUACCUUUGCAAGUCACAAAGUAGGCAGAGGGAGGAUAGUGGUCCUGUGCAAGCCUUGAGUUGAAAGCAGGAGAAACAUUACCUUUGGUUAUCCUGCUUCGGAAGACAGGACUCUUAUCUUACCCUACUCACCCCAGUGGAGGUGGCCAACAAUCUCAGUCCUCCAGGCCAUUCCAGCUCAGCUUGGAUGACAAAGCAGUGGACCCUGUCCAAUGUCUACCUUCAACUCCAGAGUGGCGGCCAUCAUGGGACUAACUGCUCUACAUGAGGGCUGUGGAUGGUUUCAUGACCCCUGGUCCUUUGCCAUUCCUUCUGGUCCAGUAUCUACAAUGCCCAUCUGAUUGUGGGCAUGAACUAGCCUUCGGAGGGAGGAAGAUAGUAAAAGGAUUAGAGCCAAGGCAGGAGGCCAUACAGCAUGAGGAUGCCCUGAAAAUCUCCAUGCUUGUGAAGCCCCUGCCCUCCCAAUAUAGACCGCUGACAUGGGGUCUGAGGCGCUCAGCUUGACCUCAUCCCAGGCUCUCCACCAGCAGCUGGAAGAGCCUUUUAGCCUCAAAUGACUUGAAAUAAAUGGAAAGUUAUUUGCUUAACAGCAUUUCUAAUAAUCUGCAUGUUGUCACCUAGAGACUCGAUGAUGGAAAAGCCAGAGGUAGGAACUCUGAAUGUCACUCACAGUAUGACACAUGUGGUCUUUGGACACAUGCACUGUGGCAACAGCAAUCCCAAGGGAAAGGAGGACACCUGACAAGGGUUGAGAGGAUACACUGUGGCCUCACAGCGAGUCAUGCUAGGCCUCCAGUCUUUGUCCUCCCACAAGGUUAGCAAAACCCUCAUCUCACAGGACUGGUUUACACGGUGGAAGGGACCUGUCCAAUGUGCAGGUGUCUUUUGAAUCUCUGGGCAAGCCAAAGAGGGUUCCUUGCUCCUCCCUCUGCUUCCUGCCCAGGUUUCCUUGUCCCAGUCUCUGUAAACAAGCGUGGGUAACUGAAGAGAGUAGCAAUCUCCCGUGUGCCCCGCACUGCUCCUCACAGAGGGCGGCCAGUGGGCAGCUCCGGCAGCACUCUUUAUUCCCUGGUAGAAAACUCUGACCCAGGAGGCGCCGCCGAGGAAGAGGACUUAGCCACAGGCACGGUUCCAGCACACUCCCCAAGGCUCCACGGGUGAGACUCAGUAGAUCCUUAGAGGUGGCUAUGGGACCCACAGUCCCUUUCUGAGCUGGCCCGGUCUCCUGGCAGCAGCCUUACAGUGGUCCCAGAAGCCAGAGUGUUGAGCCCUUUUCCCCACAUAGACUUCUCUUUGGCCACAAGGCAGAGGAACAGAAACUGUAUCUUUCCAUUUGAAAUAGCCACAAUCAAUAUGCCAAGUCAAUGAUUUUAGGAGACUGAAGAACUAUGGUAAAGACCACCGACUCCUGGUAACAAGGGGAGCUGGCCAUCUUGAGUGGCUUUCUAGGAGCGUGGGGAAAAGGAAACGGAGGUAGAGCGCAGGAACGCCUGGAUUAAAGGCGCAAGCCUAUGAGUCCGGAGAGCUGCUAAUGAACACGGAGUUCCGGUGAGGCCAGAACUAUCCAGAGAGAUCCCCAAAGAUGUGAACAGGAUCCUUCAGGUAUUGAGUAGAGUGCUGGUGGGCACACAUGUCCGGAGCUAGCAGUACAGAGAAAGGCUCACCCGAGGGACCGGCACCUACCUGCAUCUCGCAGAACUUAAUAGUCUGAGUUUCUGUUGAGGGUAGUGAAGCUCUUAGGUGAAUGGACCCUGGAGGCGGCUGUAGAACAAAGGCAGCUGAGACCAUUGAGCUGUACACUUCAAACGGUUAAGAUGGGCCAGGCACAAUGGUGCGCACCUGCAGUCUGAGCAUCCAGGAUGCUGAAGGGGGUGGAGCUCAUGUUCAAGGCCAACCUGAGCUCCGUCCUGAGAUUCUCUCCACAAACAAAAAUAGAACAAGCGUUAAAAUAGUGCAUUUUAUGUUGUAUUUAUUACAAAACAGUUCCUGCAAUUAGAGAUAACUGGCUGGUUGAGUAACAGCAGCAGAACAGCGUGUCGCUGUAGUUACUAUCUGUUUUAUUAACACUUCCCUGGCAGAUGUGAACAAAUGUCUACUCACUGUAAUGGAACAUCAGUGAUGGACUGAAGCAAGGACCGCACCCAAUCCAGCUUGGUGAAUGGACGAGUUUACUGGGCUUCCUUGAAGGAACACAGUGAAGGGCUACUUAACAGGAGCAUGGGUGAACCCCACACAGCUGCAUCCACAAAGCCCCACCCCAUAGUGAUUAAUAAUCUCUGAAGGCUUCAUCACAGAGAGUACCCCGACCUUGUUAACCAUCACUUCCUGUACACUCUAACGUCUGCCAAGGUCACUUGCUUGCUGGCUGGUUGGAUCAAGAGAAAACGACUGGAAUCCCAGGUAUUAGUUCCGUUACAGAGUGGGGCAAGAAAUGGCUGUUCCAGAAGGCUACAAUGAGCCCAAGAUAAAGUAAUUGGCCUCUGAACCUGCAAAAUUGGCCUCUGAACCUGCAAAAGUCCAUAUUUCCCACAAUUCCGAUGAGUGCAUCAAUCUCUGCAGACCCAGACUCCUUCCAGGUUUUGUUCACAACCAGACACAGCUUCCUUCCUUUCAGGAAUCUUCAUUCACACAAAUAAAUGUAAAUAUCCACC